UGCCGGGUGGAGUAAUUUGGAAACUCGCCAGGUUCUGGUCCUGGAAUUCAAGGUUCGAGUCCUUGCCCGGCAG
rnacentral:tRNA from 1 species